rnacentral:rRNA from 1 species
UAUGCGAAAAACAAAGCUUAGCUAGCAGUAUCCUGAGUAGGGCGGGACACGAGGAAUCCUGUCUGAAUCCGGGUCGACCACGAUCCAACCCUAAAUACUAAUACCAGAUCGAUAGUGCACAAGUACCGUGAGGGAAAGGUGAAAAGAACUGAGGUGAUCAGAGUGAAAUAGAACCUGAAACCAUUUGCUUACAAUCAUUCAGAGCACUAUGUAGCAAUACAGUGUGAUGGACUGCCUUUUGCAUAAUGAGCCUGCGAGUUGUGGUGUCUGGCAAGGUUAAGCAAACGCGAAGCCGUAGCGAAAGCGAGUCUGAAUAGGGCGCUUAGUCAGAUGCUGCAGACCCGAAACGAAGUGAUCUAUCCAUGAGCAAGUUGAAGCUAGUGUAAGAACUAGUGGAGGACUGAACCCAUAGGCGUUGAAAAGCCCCGGGAUGACUUGUGGAUAGGGGUGAAAGGCCAAUCAAACUUCGUGAUAGCUGGUUCUCUCCGAAAUAUAUUUAGGUAUAGCGUUGUGUCGUAAUAUAAGGGGGUAGAGCACUGAAUGGGCUAGGGCAUACACCAAUGUACCAAACCCUAUCAAACUCCGAAUACCUUAUAUGUAAUCACAGCAGUCAGGCGGCGAGUGAUAAAAUCCGUCGUCAAGAGGGAAACAACCCAGACUACCAGCUAAGGUCCCUAAAUCUUACUUAAGUGGAAAACGAUGUGAAGUUACUUAAACAACCAGGAGGUUGGCUUAGAAGCAGCCAUCCUUUAAAGAAAGCGUAAUAGCUCACUGGUCUAGUGAUUUUGCGCGGAAAAUAUAACGGGGCUAAAGUAAGUACCGAAGCUGUAGACUUGCACACAACUUAGAUUAUUUAAGUUUAGAAUAUGAGAAACUAAGUUAUAUGUUUAGUUAUAUUUUUACUGAUUUUUAUAGAGUAAAGAUAGAAAUAAAACUUAGUAAAAUCAGUAAAAAUAUUCUUAGGCUAAAGUUAAGUAGUUUAAGUUGUGUGCAAGUGGUAGGAGAGCGUUCUAUUUGCGUCGAAGGUAUACCGGUAAGGAGUGCUGGAGCGAAUAGAAGUGAGCAUGCAGGCAUGAGUAGCGAUAAUUAAUGUGAGAAUCAUUAACGCCGUAAACCCAAGGUUUCCUACGCGAUGCUCGUCAUCGUAGGGUUAGUCGGGUCCUAAGUCGAGUCCGAAAGGGGUAGACGAUGGCAAAUUGGUUAAUAUUCCAAUACCAACAUUAGUGUGCGAUGGAAGGACGCUUAGGGCUAAGGGGGCUAGCGGAUGGAAGUGCUAGUCUAAGGUUGUAGGAGGUUAUACAGGCAAAUCCGUAUAACAAUACUCCGAGAACUGAAAGGCUUUUUGAAGUCUUCGGAUGGAUAGAAGAACCCCUGAUGCCGUCGAGCCAAGAAAAGUUUCUAAGUUUAGCUAAUGUUGCCCGUACCGUAAACCGACACAGGUGGGUGGGAUGAGUAUUCUAAGGCGCGUGGAAGAACUCUCUUUAAGGAACUCUGCAAAAUAGCACCGUAUCUUCGGUAUAAGGUGUGGUUAGCUUCGUACUAGGAUUUACUCCGAAAGCGAAGAAACUUACAACAAAGAGUCCCUCCCGACUGUUUACCAAAAACACAGCACUCUGCUAACUCGUAAGAGGAUGUAUAGGGUGUGACGCCUGCCCGGUGCUCGAAGGUUAAUUGAUGGGGUUAGCAUUAGCGAAGCUCUUGAUCGAAGCCCGAGUAAACGGCGGCCGUAACUAUAACGGUCCUAAGGUAGCGAAAUUCCUUGUCGGUUAAAUACCGACCUGCAUGAAUGGCGUAACGAGAUGGGAGCUGUCUCAAAGAGGGAUCCAGUGAAAUUGUAGUGGAGGUGAAAAUUCCUCCUACCCGCGGCAAGACGGAAAGACCCCGUGGACCUUUACUACAGCUUGACACUGCUACUUGGAUAAGAAUGUGCAGGAUAGGUGGGAGGCUUUGAGUAUAUGACGCCAGUUGUAUAUGAGCCAUUGUUGAGAUACCACUCUUUCUUAUUUGGGUAGCUAACCAGCUUGAGUUAUCCUCAAGUGGGACAAUGUCUGGUGGGUAGUUUGACUGGGGCGGUCGCCUCCCAAAUAAUAACGGAGGCUUACAAAGGUUGGCUCAGAACGGUUGGAAAUCGUUCGUAGAGUAUAAAGGUAUAAGCCAGCUUAACUGCAAGACAUACAAGUCAAGCAGAGACGAAAGUCGGUCUUAGUGAUCCGGUGGUUCUGUGUGGAAGGGCCAUCGCUCAAAGGAUAAAAGGUACCCCGGGGAUAACAGGCUGAUCUCCCCCAAGAGCUCACAUCGACGGGGAGGUUUGGCACCUCGAUGUCGGCUCAUCGCAUCCUGGGGCUGGAGCAGGUCCCAAGGGUAUGGCUGUUCGCCAUUUAAAGCGGUACGCGAGCUGGGUUCAGAACGUCGUGAGACAGUUCGGUCCCUAUCUGCCGUGGGCGUAAGAAGAUUGAAGAGAUUUGACCCUAGUACGAGAGGACCGGGUUGAACAAACCACUGGUGUAGCUGUUGUUCUGCCAAGAGCAUCGCAGCGUAGCUAAGUUUGGAAAGGAUAAACGCUGAAAGCAUCUAAGCGUGAAGCCAACUCUAAGAUGAAUCUUCUCUAAGCUCUCUAGAAGACUACUAGUUUGAUAGGCUGGGUGUGUAAUGGAUGAAAGUCCUUUAGCUGACCAGUACUAAUAGAGCGUUUGGCUUAUCUUUAAUAAAGCAU